rnacentral:rRNA from 1 species
AUGAACGCUGGCGGCGUGUCUAAGGCAUGCAAGUCGAAUGUGCUUCUUCGGAAGUGCAUGGCAAACGGGAGAGUAACACAUUGGUAAUCUGCCCCGAGGACGAGAAUAACCCGGAGAAAUCCGAGAUAAUACUCGAUAUUAGUGGGGGGUCAAAUGACAUUCCCACUUAAAGUUCAGGCGCCUCGGGAGGAGCCUAUGACCUAUCAGCUUGUUGGUUGGGGUAAAAGCCCACCAAGGCUACGACGGGUACCGGGUGUGAGAGCAUGACCCGGUUCACUGGGACUGAGACACUGCCCAGACUCCUACGUGAGGCUGCAGUCAAGAAUCUUCCACAAUGGCCGAAAGGCUGAUGGAGCGACGCCGCGUGUAUGAAGAAGCCCUUCGGGGUGUAAAGUACUUUUAUGUGGGACGAAACAAUGACGGUACCACAAGAAUAAGGGGCUGCUAACUUCGUGCCAGCAGUAGCGGUAAUACGAAGGCCCCUAGCGUUAUCCGGAUUUAUUGGGCGUAAAGGGUCUGUAGGCGGUCUAUUACAUCUUCUGUUAAAUCCCAAGGCUCAACCUUGGAACCGCGGAAGAUAUGGGUAGACUAGAGGCCGGUAGAGGUAAGCGGAAUUGUCGGUGUAGGGGUUAAAUCCGUUAAUAUCGACAGGAACACCAAAUGCGAAGGCAGCUUACUAGAACGAGCCUGACGCUGAAAGACGAAAGCGUGGGUAGCGAAUGGGAUUAGAUACCCCAGUAGUCCACGCCGUAAACGAUGGAUGCUAAGCAUUGGAAGUUUCGACCCUUCCAGUGUUGUUCACUUAAGCUAACGCCUUAAGCAUCCCGCCUGGGGAGUACGGCCGCAAGGCUAAAACUCAAAGGAAUAGACGGGGACCCGCACAAGCGGUGGAGCAUGCGGUUUAAUUCGACGAUAAACGAGGAACCUUACCCAGGCUAGAAGCCAUCCGAAUCCCUGUGAAAGCGGGGAGUGCCGCAAGGAGCGGAUGGACAGGUGCUGCAUGGUUGCCGUCAGCUCGUGCCGUGAGGUGUUCGGUUAAGUCCAGCAACGAGCGCAACCCUUGUCGAAUGUUGUAUUUUUCAUUCGAUACUGCCCGAGUUAAUUGGGAGGAAGGUGGGGAUGACGUCAAAUCAGCAUGGCCCUAGACGCCUGGGGCUACACACAUGUUACAAUGGGAGAUUACAAAGGGUUGCCAAACCGAAAGGUGGAGCUAAUCCCAUCAAAGUCUCUCUCAGUUCGGAUUGAGGGCUGCAACUCGCCCUCAUGAAGCCGGAAUCGCUAGUAAUCGUGAAUCAGCUAUGUCACGGUGAAUACGUUCUCAGGUCUUGUACUCACCGCCCGUCACAUCAAGAGGGUCGGUAAUACCCGAAGCUCCUCCGUUUAAUAGGGGGAACCACGGUAGGAUCGGUAAU